AUUCACAUGCUGUUACUCAUCAGAGAAUAAUUUUAAAUAAUACGCCAAUUUAUCUCAAAGGUAUGCGAAUGCCCAGCAGUGAUGGAAAAGUUGGCACUGCACAUGCAGCGCUCUACCCAAUAUUUCACACCUAAUCGGUACUUCAGACACAUAUUAUCUAUUUUAGAUACAAUUCGUAAGGUGAUUGUUUAUUUUGCAGCAAUCUCGCCACUACGCUCAAGCAAAAAGGCCUAACACUCACACUACUGCAUACCUAGGUGCCUGUCAAAAAAAUUGGAAGAAGAGGAGUGUUUUCAGGAGUUGAUAAAAUAUAAUGAAUUAAUUGCUAUACCUAUUCAUGCGCCUAACCAGGAGUCAGAAGAGACUGAAAUUAUCGUUUUUCAUUACUUCUUUGGAAUAAUUUGCAUAGUAUUAUAUAAUGUUCUAAUAAAUAAAUUU